rnacentral:rRNA from 1 species
CUCGGUCCAUCAGUGUGCCUCGCAAGGGGCCUCCAUUGGUGUGUUAACCGGCCCGCCCGUCCCCUCCUUCUGGAUUCCCGUUCCUGCUAUUGAUUUAGUGGGAACGUCACAGGGGGUCAGUCGUGUAAAAAGCGGCUGGUCUCUGGGGCCCAGAUCGUUUACCGUGAAAAAAUUAGAGUGUUCAAAGCGGGCAGAUAUUUUUCCUGCCACCGAAUACAUUAGCAUGGGAUAAUGGAAUAGGACCCUGACCUCCUAUUUUCAGUUGGUUUUGUUUACAGCGAGGUUAUAUCAGGGUAAUGAUUAAUAGGGAUAGUUGGGGGCAUUAAUAUUUAAUUGUCAGAGGUGAAAUUCUUGGAUUUAUGAAAGAUUAACUUCUGCGAAAGCGUUUGCCAAGGAUGUUUUCAUUAAUCAAGAACGAAAGUUAGGGGAUCGAAGACGAUCAGAUACCGUCGUAGUCUUAACCAUAAACGAUGCCGACCAGCGAUUAGGAGACGUUGAAUACAAAACACCGCCGUUAAUCCUUUCGGGGGUUAAUGGUUGGUGAAUGACUCCCCUAGCAGCUUGUGAGAAAUCAUAAGUCUUUGGGUUCCGGGGGGAGUAUGGUCGCAAGGCUGAAACUUAAAGGAAUUGACGGAAGGGCACCACCAGGAGUGGAGCCUGCGGCUUAAUUUGACUCAACACGGGGAAACUUACCAGGUCCGGACAUAGU